rnacentral:rRNA from 1 species
GAUGAACGCUGGCGGCGUGCCUAAUACAUGCAAGUCGAGCGAACAGAUCAGGAGCUUGCUCCUUUGACGUUAGCGGCGGACGGGUGAGUAACACGUGGGUAACCUACCUAUAAGACUGGAAUAACUCCGGGAAACCGGGGCUAAUGCAGGAUAACAUUUUGAACCGCAUGGUUCUACAGUGAAAGGCGGCUUUGCUGUCACUUAUAGAUGGACCCGCGCCGUAUUAGCUAGUUGGUGAGGUAACGGCUUACCAAGGCAACGAUACGUAGCCGACCUGAGAGGGUGAUCGGCCACACUGGAACUGAGACACGGUCCAGACUCCUACGGGAGGCAGCAGUAGGGAAUCUUCCGCAAUGGGCGAAAGCCUGACGGAGCAACGCCGCGUGAGUGAUGAAGGUCUUCGGAUCGUAAAACUCUGUUAUUAGGGAAGAACAAAUGCGUAAGUAACUGUGCGCGUCUUGACGGUACCUAAUCAGAAAGCCACGGCUAACUACGUG